AUGCAACAGGUUCCAGGGCCUCUUACCUGCGUGAUUCAUCAUCCAGGUUUUGCACAAAUUGUCUAAAUCCCUACACACAGAACAUUUAUUGUACCGACUAUAAGCCUUUGAGGUGCAGGACUAGAAUAUGCUUGGAGCUUCCUGAUCAGAUCGGUCACAAUUUUGGCUUUCGACGACCCCUGCACUGAAGAUGGCAUGCAAUCACGUCCUCCUUUGAAGGUCUCUCAAACUGUGAUGCCAGGUCCAUUGGAAUCGGGGUUUCCUUCAGCUUAUCUUCAAAUACCUCAUCAAACACAAGCCUGAUCACAUCAUCCACAUAACUGUAGAAAUAUUGCAGUCAAUAAAUCUUUUGUUUUGAUCAUUUAUUUCCCUGCUUCAUACAUUAAGUUUUUAAUUAUGAAUGUAUUUGAAAUAAAACAUUACUGCUUA